UAAAAAAACACGCGUCGCAGUAUUAAUAAACAUGUUACAUGUAUGGGAAAAGGGUAUUAAACGAGCACCUUAUUUUAAAUUGGAUAAACUUAAGCACAAAAUACGCGCAUUGGAGUAAACAUCAAGUACAUAAUUAUGAAACCAACAUUUUCAGAAAUUGUGAGGAAUUUAUAUGAAGCUAUUAUUUGCUAAUUGAAAGAUGAAUUUAUUUGCUGGUUUAUUGAAAGUGUUUCGACAACUGACUUAAACGUCGACCGACCUUCUCCAAAUGAUCGGGAGUGAACGCCUUGAACGUGAUUGAAAACAUUGGACGAUGCGAGCACUCGUCUCACGCUGAAUCUCUGACCUUGUGAUCACCUAAGGCAUUUUCUGUUUGGAUGUGAUCCUAAGUUGUCCUACGGUUACCAAAAUCAAAGACCGCAGCAUGACCGAUGAGGCAAGAUGCUAGAGACACAACAUUAGAAUGUUACUACCUUCGGUAUCGUUGUUGUCUCCCUCUACUGCUGCAACGAGAAAGUUCUGCAGUUCAAGGACAAGCAGUUGCAGAAACGGAUAGAACAGGGAAUAUGUGGAAGCCGAAAACUAACAUUCCUUUUUAUGAUUGACAGAUGGGUAGGUAUGCUGAUGACACAACAUCUGGCUGUGACAAUCCGAAGGAUCUCUAAAACUGGUGUCAGGGAAUUUUAUCUUCAUUUUUAUAAUUAGAUUUCAAACAACAUGUCAUUUUCAUAUUUAAUUUACAUUUACACGAUUCUUUGUUAUUGCUAUUGUGGCAGGCGAAUGUUUUCUUCCAUAUAGGUUGAUACGUGCAACCGUCCAUUACUGAAUCUCUUAACUUUAGAUCACACGAGGCAUUUUCUGGUAGGAUGUUUUUUUAAGUUGCACGGACGGCAAUGACCAGAAAUACAAGUGCCCAAAAAUGGUAAGCUUAUUAUCUGUAAUAAAACGGAUGUAUCCGAUCUAUAUAAAGCUGUUGAACCGGAACUUCACGAAAGCUGAUAUCUGUCCAACUGUAUGCAUUUUUUUGGAGAAAAUCAUCUCUUAUCGAAGACAUUGAUUCAUAACUUAGUUCGUAAGUUUAUAUUUAAAAUGUUUUCUAUGGUAUUGCUUUUUUGACUGACAGACUGAUAAUCAUAGCGUUAUACAUACACACAACUUUGGAACACGAUAAGCUGAGAAUCAGUUACUUUGCAUCACCGCCGUAGAAAAUUAACUUACGCUCGAGGUAAUUGUUAAAGUAGGAAAAUACAUUCAUCGCGGGAUUGUUGUGUAUACAUGUUUGCACAUUUAAGCUACCAACUGGCUAAGCACUAUCAGUUACAAGUUCGAAGAAUUUGGACAUCAUUGACAGUGUCAUUUACUUGCCUGAAAGUUUCUUGUUAGACCGAUACUGCUUUCUUCCCACCAAUAAUGUCUACUUAUACAGUGUCUUGUCCUUAAUAGAUUCAUAAUUAUACGGAAUUUCCUGUUUACUUCAGUAUAUUUUAUACUUAAACGUUCCUGUUUCACUUAGUUAUCAUAUUUGUUGAGAAUAAUGUUUCUUUUGAUUACAUUUUCAGUAAAACUUGUCCAUUUAAGAUGGAUACGAGCAGAAGACACUGAAUUCCUGAUCUAAAUGUCACAAGGGGCGCUUUCUUGCAGCAUGUGGUCCUAGUUUGUCCGGCAUAAGCCUGGACCAAUGAAGUUUUAGUUUGCAGUUUAAACUUACAGUGCAGUUUGUCAAUUAUACUGAAAUUACAAUCAAUACUUUUUGCUGAUACAAAAAGUAAUCUUAAUCCUGCAAGCUGCACAUAUUCUGAAAGAUUUGAAAUCUAACUUGUUUAGCAAAAUAAAUCCAGUCUGUAACCAAUGAGCAGUUAUAUCAAGAUUUAAAAUGCUGUUAAAUAGUUGAAUUUAUCAGAUCUUUUCCGACUCAAAUUGCAUUGACAAGUGAUCUUCUGUUGACACUGUCCGAACAAAUGUUUCCAUUAUCUUACAAACAUGAUAUUACGUCAUUAAUUUUCUACUACAAAGAAUGUACAUCACUUGCCUGCAUAUAAAGUAAAAGAAACACAAAAUAUUGCCUUUGGUGAUGGAUGUCAGAUGGAAGAAUUUUGAGAUCAAUUUCAUUGUUCUCUUGAGUAUACUUAACAUUAUAGCUUAAUUUAACAUUCCAAAAGCUUUUUGAAAAAAGUUACGAAAAUCAUAUAUACAAUAUAAUUAGUGUUGCGUUUAUACUUCAGCCUAAUGUUGGAAGCAGUGUUGAGCUGCUUGUACUGCUUUGGGGAGAACACUUUCUAAUUGACGGCCAUGGCAAAUACAAAUUGACGUACCACGCAGAGAUCAGCUCUUCCUGACAGGAUGUGUUCCACAGUUAUCCGGUAUUGACAAGAAUAAAAGGCAUCUGCUAGUUAAGAGCCCGGACAUUUCACACACAUGUGGCUUUUGAUGCCGAAGAGGUUAUAGCGUCUUUCCGAUAUAUGAAUACAAGCUAAACUCCAUCAUCAGAUUACAAAAGACAGGCAGAUUGUGGUUGUUGGUUGUUCUGCAAUUACCAGAAUCACCAGUUGAUGCAUUUUGAUCUGUGCAUAACAUCCAAGAGGUCUUCUGUAAUUUUGAACUUUUAAAAAAUACAGAUUUCUGUACACAAUAUUGCAUGAGUGUAACGCUUUGAGCUGUUUAUGCAAUAAGUCAAAAAACAUGUUUAAACAUACGUUUUUGAAAUGUUACAGUUUUCUUAACUGCUUUGUUUUUAUUAACAUACAUAUUUGUUUUUCGAUAGAGAAUUGAAACAAGCCUUGUUAAUGUAAAACUGACAUCCCAGUUGUCUCCCUUAGACCUCUGUUAAUAUAAUGAUCAGCAGGUUGUUUGCAACUAUAAUAUAUAAGCUUAUAUGUGACAAGACAGUUCUUAUUUUAACAUACUAAAAUUGUUGAUGUAUUUUCUAUAUCAUGGAUGUUAUCCAUCUGACCAUUUCUGUAUUCAGACGGAAGCUUAAUACACAAUCAAUUGAUUUCAUCAUUGGCUUUUUUAUUAUCUUACAUUGUUGUAAAUCAUGCAUACACACAAACAUAGUUCGAUAUUUGAACUUUUUUUUAUUUUUGUCUAUUGGGUUGUUCUUGUAAAACAGUCUGCAAUGUAUAUAAUGGGGCAAGCAAAACUAACAAUUAAUUUAGUGUGACCGUUUUUGCCAAUUUCAGUUUUAGACAUAACUACAUGUACAGUGGGUCUGUCAGCAUUGUUAUAUGUUGAGAAGUCAGACAUUGCAUCCCCUUACAGGUACAUGUAGUUGAAAUCACUGGCAGCAUCCGAACUAUUUCAUCAAAGCAUCAAACAAAAUAUGCUUCUGAAACUCAUAUAUAUAUAUAUAUAUUUCAAUGUUUAUAUUCAUUCAAACGAAAUGAACAUAUCCGCUAGUAAAGACAGAUUCAUCAUGACAGACACUUGGUCAAACGUAUCUAAUGAGAAUUUUUUUAUUAUAAAAUAGGGAAUAAAAAUGCACAAUAAUGCAACCAGGCAUAUAAUCGUUGUCUUAAAGGGUGAUCCUUUGCCUUCUUCUUUUGUUCUAUUUGAACAAUGAUUUCAAAUUAAAGUUUAGUUAGUACGCGAAAGGUUACAGUUAAAUAGUGAUUGAUUGCAGAUGUAAUGCAUAUUGUUUUAAAAAGCCACUUGUUGGUCGCACAAGGGUUGUUGGCUGGAAAUUCUACAUAAAAAAAUACUCUAUAUUGUUAGGCAAGGUAUGAAACUCUAUUUCCCUUUCAUCUUACUUUUGGUUUGUAUCAUUUGGUUGCCAACGCAAGGUCGCUGAUACAGAUCUAGGAUUAUAAAUGUUUUUAUAAUAGUGUACGACCUCAUGUAUACUGUUGUGUUUUCAUAUCUCUGCCUAUUUUUGCAUGCAUAAUGCGCACAUGAUAUAUGUAAUAUUUUUCUAAUGUGUUGUAAUGAAUUGCCCACAGUGUUGUUAUUCAUAUCAUCAAGGUCAAUAAGUGUUGACGAUUACAGCUCUUCGUUGUUCUGUGAUGCUGUGGUUGUGUUUUAGAAACAUAUCAUUAUAUAAUCCUAAAAUUGUCUAAACCAGGUACCCUAGUCAUAUUCUCCAUUUAAUAGCAUACAUCUAUGGUUGAUGUGCCAAUAAUUUGUACUUUUCUACUCAACUCUUUAACAAGUUUGCUUCUCUUUAAGGUUAUUUUGUUAAACUUAAACCUGCCAUUGUAUUAUCGAAUCCAUAACUAACUCAUGACUUAUUUUGUUAAACUUAAACCUGCCAUUGUAUUAUCGAAUCCAUAACUAACUCAUGACUUAUUGUUUCACAAUCGGCUUGAUCAUAAUUUAGCAUAUCAACUGGGCUCCUAUAUAUCAAAUAUCGUCUCAGUGCGACAGUUUUUUCCUUUGUCAUUAUUUUAACAAAUAAUUAUUAUUCCGAAGUAUUUCAGUUUUAUAUUUGUACUUACUUUUCGAAGACGUAAGUUUAUAACUAUUGACAGUUUACAUUUAAUCAAACAAAAACAGACUCCGAAGUCUAAGGCUUCUUCAAUGUGUUUGGUAAACAGGGUGGUCAUUAUUAUGCUUGGAGAGCCAAAUGAAUUUUACAAAAUGAAUUGUAUUAGACUAACCUCUCAGAUUGUAAAUCAGACGACAAUUGUGCUUGAAAUAUUUGUCUAGAGCAUAAUUGUUAAUAGUGAGAGUUCCCAAAGUGGCGCUCUUAUUCUCCUACUGAUGUGAGAGUUUGAGUCCGCGGUUGGUUUUCCUUAUGAUAUAGAGUUAUCUUCAACACAUUUUUAUCUGCUCACUGUUCUGUUGUAAACGUUGGAGGAUGAUGUGCAGCAUUUAUGUGUUUUAUCUUGUUUAAUUCCAACGACGGAAGUCAUAUAGUACUCGGACCGUCCGUUCGUCAGUCUCCGAGGUUUACGACCAACAAAGAAGAACACUUAGGCCCCGUUAUAUAGGCGGGUUGGUCAUGACGAGCAGAUGAACCUGAUCGAUUAUGAGGUCAUUGAGUCAAAGGUACAAAUGUCGUUGUGCGUCAGCCCUCCCCCGUCGGUUACGUUUAGAAAAGGACGCCUAGGCCCUGUGACGUCAAACUAAGUAGGCAGGUAUGUCAUGAUCAUCACCCUAACUGUUUUUCAGUAAGUUUGGCAAAGGUUAAGAUCGUUGUGUUCAUGAGCUGAAAAUCCUCUUCGGAUCAAGACUUAAAGAAUGCUCGGGCCCAAGGAUUUAAAACUUGUUAUGAUAGUUGCUGAUUAUCAUAUGAAUCCUUAUGACUUUGAGGUCAAUCGGUCAAAAGUGCAGGUCGUGGUGAUCUUGAGCAUGGUAUGAUAUUUGGUUAUGAAAAGCAGAUGACCUUUUAGGACGUUGAAGUCAAUGGGUCAAAUCCUGAGGUCGUGUAGACCUUUUGAUGGAAAUUUGUUUACAAUAUAUUAUUGGAGAAUGCUGCAGCUCAGGCAUCUUACACUUGGUAUGCAGGUUGCUCAUGACUAGCACAUGCCAUCUUCUAAUUUUAAAGUGGGUGAAUAUCGUCUUAUAAAUCUGUUAAAGACGAAAGGCUAUCUGUCAAUGCAGGCCCAAAUAGUAAUGGCAUAGUGUCCAAGGCGGCCUUGCGAUGGCAUUUGACGCGUUCCUGGGAAGCUCGUGUUCCUCCUAGUGUGUACAACGUUACUUCCGAUGGCUUUGAGUUACUCGUCUUUAAGUUGAAGCUCGCUUUAUUGUAAAUGCUGAAACAAUAGUAAAGUAAUGGACAUAUAAACUAGUACAAGCCCCCAGUAGUUUCGUGUUCCAGUGAACUCGACUUUCACUGACCGUUCCAUGGCGGUUAUCCAAUCUUUUAUCGAUAAAGCUAUUUUGAUGCUUGUGUGAUCUGUUGGUGGUGUCUCUGAGUGUGUUCAUGUAGUGUGUGUACUUUUGUUUCUCUAGCUCAGUUUCGUUUUAGUCAUUACAUGAAUCCGACUGUAGCAUUGUAAAAUUGCGAUCUCGCUUGUCGGCGUCAUUUUACGACGAUCCUUAACUCUUGCCAGUCUGAUUAUUCAUGCUCAGGAUGACUAUGUUUAUUUUACUCGCAAAUAAUGUCUAUGAUUGCGUCAGUGGUAUUUUAUAUUUACAAUGGACCAAAACCUGUUAUGAUGUUGUCUAUCGCUAAUACGUGAAAUAAUUCAUGGUUCGUUUUAUGAUUGCGGCACAUGUACAAGCAGGCGAUGUCUGUACCUUUGUGGUUUUGGUUACAAUAUUAGGCAGUCUUAAAGGAGCAAUCCCACCUCUAAUGAACAUCCAAACUUAGAGUAAGGAGUACCCCUUUAGCGUUCUAAGCCUUAGGUUAUUGUUUACAAACGUAAGUGUGCCAUAAAGCCAUUGAUAUUAUCUUGAUGUUCUUUAUCAAUCUUCAAUGUUUAGCUAGUAAUAAUAAUAUAAUAAAUA